rnacentral:rRNA from 1 species
GACGAACGCUGGCGGCGUGCCUAAUACAUGCAAGUCGAGCGAACUUGCGGGAGCUUGCUCCCAAAAGUUAGCGGCGGACGGGUGAGUAACACGUGGGCAACCUGCCCUAUAGUUUGGGAUAACUCCGGGAAACCGGGGCUAAUACCGAAUAAUACAUUUCAUCUCCUGUUGGAAUGUUGAAAGAUGGUUUCGGCUAUCGCCUGAAGAGGGGUUUGCGUCUGAUUAGGCAGUUGGUGAGGUAACGGCCCACCAAACCUACGAUCAGUAGCCGGUCUGAGAGGAUGAACGGCCACACUGGAACUGAGACACGGUCCAGACUCCUACGGGAGGCAGCAGUGGGGAAUCUUCCGCAAUGGGCGAAAGCCUGACGGAGCAACGCCGCGUGAGUGAUGACGGCCUUCGGGUUGUAAAGCUCUGUGAUCGGGGACGAACGGUCCGUAAGCUAAUACCUUAUGGAAGUGACGGUACCCGAAUAGCAAGCCACGGCUAACUACGUG